rnacentral:rRNA from 1 species
CCUACGGGGGGCAGCAGUGAGGAAUAUUGGUCAAUGGACGAGAGUCUGAACCAGCCAAGUAGCGUGAAGGAUGACUGCCCUAUGGGUUGUAAACUUCUUUUAUAUGGGAAUAAAACGUUCCACGUGUGGGAUUUUGUAUGUACCAUAUGAAUAAGGAUCGGCUAACUCCGUGCCAGCAGCCGCGGUAAUACGGAGGAUCCGAGCGUUAUCCGGAUUUAUUGGGUUUAAAGGGAGCGUAGGUGGAUUUGUAAGUCAGUUGUGAAAGUUUGCGGCUCAACCGUAAAAUUGCAGUUGAACCGGGCAGUCUUGAGUACAGUAGAGGUGGGCGGAAUUCGUGGUGUAGCGGUGAAAUGCUUAGAUAUCACGAAGAACUCCGAGUGCGAAGGCAGUUCACUGGACUGCAACUGACACUGAGGCUCGAAAGUGUGGGUAUCAAACAGGAUUAGAUACCCGAGUAGUC